UGGAAUGAUGGCGACUUAAACCCUCGCCAGAGUAACAAUUGGAGGGCAAGUCUGGUGCCAGCAGCCGCGGUAAUUCCAGCUCCAAUAGCGUAUAUUAAACUUGUUGCAGUUAAAAAGCUCGUAGUUGAACUUUUGCGUUGUCCUUUUCCUGCUUUGUGCGGGUUAUUGACUUCGCUUUUUCUUUUUACUUUGAGAAAAUUAGAGUGUUUAUCGCAGACUUUUGUCUUGAAUACUUCAGCAUGGAAUAAUAGAGUAGGACUUUGGUUCUAUUUUGUUGGUUUUGGAACCUUGGUAAUGGUUAAUAGGAACGGUUGGGGGCAUUCGUAUUUAACUGUCAGAGGUGAAAUUCUUAGAUUUGUUAAAGACGAACUACUGCGAAAGCAUUUGCCAAGGACGUUUCCAUUAAUCAAGAACGAAAGUUAGGGGAUCGAAGACGAUCAGAUACCGUCGUAGUCCUAACCAUAAACUAUGCCGACUAGGGAUUGGAGGUCGUCAUUUUUCCGACUCCUUCAGCACCUUGAGAGAAAUC
rnacentral:rRNA from 1 species